AUCAUUACUGAACCGUCGACAUGAGUUGUUGCUGGUCCCCCAAGGGGGCAUGUGCACAUUCUGUCUACACAUCCACUCACACCUGUGCACUCUCUGUAGCUCUAUGGCCUUGGGGACUCUGUCCCCUUGCUGUGGUCCUACAUCUUUACACACACACCGUAUUACAGUCUCAUGGAAUGCAUGUCGCGUUUAACGCAAUACAAUACAACUUUCAGCAACGGAUCUCUUGGCUCUCGCAUCGAUGAAGAACGCAGCGAAAUGCGAUAAGUAAUGUGAAUUGCAGAAUUCAGUGAAUCAUCGAAUCUUUGAACGCACCUUGCGCCCUUUGGCCAUUCCGAAGGGCAUGCCUGUUUGAGUAUCAUGAACACCUCAACUCUCAUGGUCCGCCAUGAUGAGCUUGGACUUUGGGGGUCUUGCCGGCCUAACCGUUGGCUCCUCUCAAAUGAAUCAGCUUGCCAGUGUUUGGUGGCAUCACGGGUGUGAUAAAUAUCUACGCCUGCGCUCUUCCACCAGGUAACCUUCAGUGAUGGAGGUUCGCUGGAGCUCACAGACGUCCUCUUCCCAUGGAGGACAGCUUUUGAACGUUUGAUCUCAAAUCAGGUAGGACUACCCGCUGAACUUAAGCAUAUCAAUAAGCGGAGGA
rnacentral:rRNA from 1 species